AACGAACGCUGGCGGCAUGCCUAACACAUGCAAGUCGAACGAGACCUUCGGGUCUAGUGGCGCACGGGUGCGUAACGCGUGGGAACCUGCCCUUAGGUUCGGAAUAACUCCCCGAAAGGGGUGCUAAUACCGGAUAAUGUCUUCGGACCAAAGAUUUAUCGCCUUUGGAUGGGCCCGCGUUGGAUUAGCUAGUUGGUAGGGUAAAAGCCUACCAAGGCGACGAUCCAUAGCUGGUCUGAGAGGAUGAUCAGCCACACUGGGACUGAGACACGGCCCAGACCCUGGCGGGAGGCAGCAGGGGGGAAAUUGGGAAAAUGGGCGAAAGCCUAACCCAGCAAGCCCGGGUAGGUGAUGAAGGCCUUAGGGUUGGAAGUCUCUUUUUCCCGGGAUGUUAAGGACUGUCCCGGAGAAAAAACCCCCGGUAAACUCCUG
rnacentral:rRNA from 1 species